rnacentral:rRNA from 1 species
GACGAACGCUGGCGGCGUGCUUUACACAUGCAAGUCGAACGGCAGCACGGGGGCAACCCUGGUGGCGAGUGGCGAACGGGUGAGUAACACAUCGGAACGUGCCCAGUUGUGGGGGAUAACCUAUCGAAAGGUAGGCUAAUACCGCAUGAGCUCGGCAAGAGGAAAGCGGGGGACUCAGCGAUGGGCCUCGCGCGACUGGAGCGGCCGAUGUCCGAUUAGCUAGUUGGUGGGGAAAGGCUUACCAAGGCGACGAUCGGUAGCUGGUCUGAGAGGAUGAUCAGCCACACUGGGACUGAGACACGGCCCAGACUCCUACGGGAGGCAGCAGUGGGGAAUUUUGGACAAUGGGGGCAACCCUGAUCCAGCCAUGCCGCGUGAGUGAAGAAGGCCU